CACGGACUUCGGUCUGGUGGCGAGUGGCGAACGGGUGAGUAAUAUAUCGGAACAUACCCUAGAGUGGGGGAUAACGUAGCGAAAGUUACGCUAAUACCGCAUACGCACUAAGGUGGAAAGUGGGGGAUCGCAAGACCUCAUGCUCAUGGAGUGGCCGAUAUCUGAUUAGCUAGUUGGUGAGGUAAAGGCUCACCAAGGCGACGAUCAGUAGCUGGUUUGAGAGAACGACCAGCCACACUGGAACUGAGACACGGUCCAGACUCCUACGGGAGGCAGCAGUGGGGAAUUUUGGACAAUGGGCGCAAGCCUGAUCCAGCAAUGCCGCGUGAGUGAAGAAGGCCUUCGGGUUGUAAAGCUCUUUUGUCAGGGAAGAAACGGUAGUCUCUAAUACAGAUUGCUAAUGACGGUACCUGAAGAAUAAGCACCGGCUAACUACGUGCCAGCAGCCGCGGUAAUACGUAGGGUGCAAGCGUUAAUCGGAAUUACUGGGCGUAAAGCGUGCGCAGGCGGUUAUAUAAGUCAGAUGUGAAAUCCCCGGGCUCAACCUGGGAACUGCAUUUGAGACUGUAUGGCUAGAGUGUGUCAGAGGGGGGUAGAAUUCCACGUGUAGCAGUGAAAUGCGUAGAUAUGUGGAGGAAUACCGAUGGCGAAGGCAGCCCCCUGGGAUAACACUGACGCUCAUGCACGAAAGCGUGGGGAGCAAACAGGAUUAGAUACCCUGGUAGUCCACGCCCUAAACGAUGUCUACUAGUUGUCGGGACUUAAUUGUCUUGGUAACGCAGCUAACGCGUGAAGUAGACCGCCUGGGGGAGUACGGUCGCAAGAUUAAAACUCAAAGGAAUUGACGGGGACCCGCACAAGCGGUGGAUGAUGUGGAUUAAUUCGAUGCAACGCGAAAAACCUUACCUACCCUUGACAUGGU
rnacentral:rRNA from 1 species